UUGAAAAAUGCCAAAACAUUUUAACUAUGUAUUGAGUUUAAGAAUAAUUGCUGAUUAAUUGUUUAAUUGUUUCAGCUUCUUUUACUCAAGUAAAAGAUCUCAAUUUCAAUCUUCUUCCUGCACUGAAAUCUACUUGGCAGCAGUUUCCUGGCAGCGUCUUUGGCCAACCUCAGCAGCGGUCCUAAACAGAGCCAACCUGGCUCCAGCUCCAUCCCCGCCCUCCCUGCCAACAGAGGCGUUGACGG